rnacentral:rRNA from 1 species
CGCAGCCGCGGUAAUUCCAGCUCCAAUAGCGUAUAUUAAAGUUGUUGCAGUUAAAAAGCUCGUAGUUGAAUUUCGGGGUUAGUAGAUUGGUCGUGCCAUCGGUAUGCACUGGUCUUACUGAUUCCUCCUUCCUGAUGAACCGUAAUGCCAUUAAUUUGGUGUUGCGGGGAAACUGGACUGUUACCUUGAAAAAAAUUAGAGUGUUUAAAGCAAGCUAACGCUUGAAUACAUUAGCAUGGAAUAAUGAAAUAGGACGUCCGAUCCUAUUUUGUUGGUUUCUAGGAUUGACGUAAUGAUUAAUAGGGAUAGUUGGGGGCAUUAGUAUUCAAUUGUCAGAGGUGAAAUUCUUGGAUUUAUUGAAGACUAACUACUGCGAAAGCAUUUGCCAAGGAUGUUUUCAUUAAUCAAGAACGAAAGUUAGGGGAUCAAAGACGAUCAGAUACCGUCGUAGUCUUAACCAUAAACUAUGCCGACUAGGGAUCGGAUGAUGUUAAUUUUAUAAUGACUCAUUCGGCGCCUU